AACUUUAUCUGUAUAGAUUUUUGAAAAAUCCAGAUAAUUAUCCAGAUUUUACUUUCUCUCGAUAGAAAACAGUGCUGCCAAUGUACAUAACACUUAUUAAAUGUCAGAUUCCAUUAAGCGACAGCUGCAGUUGACAGAUAUAUGACAAAAAAAUUUAAUAUUUAAAAUUGAAUUCAAUUAAGAAUAACAAACAACACAAAUCAAUGUACAUAAGUACAUAUAAGCAUAUUUUUUGGAAAAAGAUGAAAAUUGUACCAUAAACUUUGUUUUUUUUUAAUUUAAUUUAAUAAUUUUAGGAUUCGCGUUUUUGCAAGAGUGCGAUAUCUUCCGCAAAAUUAAAGAAAAAAACCUGAAAAGGAGAUGGAAAGAAUUAUUUCACAAAAGAAGAAUUCUGUGUACUGUGCCCUUGUGUCUUAAUCGUGUCGAUACCUUCAACCCUCACAGCCAAAAUGUAAUGUAAAAUGCUCUUGGAAUGCCAGGUCGUUUGCGAAAACGUCUAUUCUUUGACGAUAAACAUGGAUAAAUGUUAACAAAGCUCUUGAUGUUAGUCAAUUGCCUCAUUAGAAUGCCCACCACAAAAACAAUCUCAUAAAUGGAAUCAGAAUCAAGACCUGUUGAUGAAAAGCCAUUUAAGAAGAUGAUCGCUUCACUGCCUACAAACUUGUACGACAUGUGCAUGUAAAGUGAAGUGUGGAAACAAUGGCAUCUUGAAAAUGGUAAUUGUUUCAAAGCAUCAUUUAGCUUCCCAAUUGGUUGCAGAUGUACUCUGCCUGCACUGAUGUCGUCCUGUUUCUGUAGGAGAUGUCUUCUAGAAAUGGGUUUAAAGCCCUAAUCGAGAUCCCGAGAAAAUGAUAUCUGCAUGAAUCUUCUUCGCAAUUACUUUCCCCUCCUAAACAGUUAUGCAGCGGGAGGAAUUAAAGCAAUACAAAUGGAUUCCCAACACAACCAACCCUACAAUUGAAAUCCGGGUCUGAGCACCUCGAGGGCAACCUAGACAGCAGACUUUUUAAAUUAAGUUUAUCCAUGUAUUAUAUUUUUUAUAUUUUAUAACUUUUAUUUUGUUGACCAAUUUGUAUUUAAUAGUUUGGGUAGGAAAAUGUAUUUUAAAACGACCAAAAAAGCCGACGGAAAAUACAUUUUCCAACCCAAACCAUUAUUUAACGUUAGACCUCUUUGUGCCAUUAAAUUUUAAAUGUGUCUUAGAAAUAAGUUAUUUUAAGGCAAUUGUAAAUAGCAAGUUCAAUAAACCAAAAUUGCAAAUUUAAAACGUAA